rnacentral:misc_RNA from 1 species
UUGAAUACGAUUGGUACUGAUGCUGGCUCUUUACUGAGCAUGUGCUCGUUCCAUCUAUUUAUCUUCUCUUGUGCACAUCUUGUGGUCUUGAAUUGAAACCUCUCGCAUUCGUGCGGUUUGGGAGUCUGAUUAAACUCUGCUCCUGCUUCGUUCAAGAUCAUGUUUUCAUAUACACUAUAAAGUUACAGAAUGUCUUUUAACGAUUGCGCAAGCAGUCAUUAAACCUAUA